rnacentral:rRNA from 1 species
UACGUAGGGUGCAAGCGUUAUUCGGAAUUAUUGGGCGUAAAGAGCUCGUAGGCGGUUUGUCGCGUCUGCUGUGAAAACUGGAGGCUCAACCUCCAGCCUGCAGUGGGUACGGGCAAACUAGAGUGCGGUAGGGGAGAUUGGAAUUCCUGGUGUAGCGGUGGAAUGCGCAGAUAUCAGGAGGAACACCGAUGGCGAAGGCAGAUCUCUGGGCCGUAACUGACGCUGAGGAGCGAAAGCAUGGGGAGCGAACAGG